AGUGAACGCUGGCGGCAUGCCUAACACAUGCAAGUCGAACGGCAACACAGUAAGAGCUCGCUCUUACGGGUGGCGGGUGACGGACGGGUAAGAAAUAGAUCGGCAUCCACUUUUACGGGGGUGAUAACGUGGGACAACAUAUGCUAACACCGCAUAUGUCCAACCGGUUGAUGCAGGGGUUAUACGGGCUUUGCCUGAUUCAAUGAGCCGAAGUCGGAUUAGCUAGUUGGCUGGGUAAAGGCCCACCAAGGCGACGCUGCGUAGCUGGUCUGAGAGGAUGAUCAGCCACACUGGAACUGAGACACGGUCCAGACUCCUACGGGAGGCAGCAGUGGGGAAUCUUGCACAAUGGGCGAAAGCCUGACGCAGCAAUACCGCGUGAGUGAAGAAGGUCUUCGGGUUGUAAAGCUCUUUUGUUAGGAAAGAACAACAGCAUGUUAAUCCCCCGCUGUCUUGACGGUACCCAAAGAAUAAGCACCGGCUAACUUCGUG
rnacentral:rRNA from 1 species